rnacentral:rRNA from 1 species
CACAGUAGACAUGCCGCCCUGGUUAUGUGCAAUCUUAGAAGCUAAGCAGAGUUGGGUCUAGAUAGCACUUGGCUGGGGAACAACAUGUGAAUUCCAGGUGCUGCUUAAG